AUUGAACGUUGGCGGCGCGCCUAAUACAUGCAAGUCGAACGGAGUGGCGCACGGGCGAGUAAUGUAUAGCUAAUUUUCCUUACACUAGAGGACAACAGCUGGAAACGCCUGCUAAUACUUUAUAGUGUAGGAUGAGGCUAUAUUGUAUCAGCUAGUUGGUGAGGUAAUGCUUCACCAAGGCUAUGACGCAUAACUGGUCUGAGAGGAUGAACAGUCACACUAAAACUGAGAGACAGUCCAGACUCCUGCGGGAGGGAGCAGUAGGGAAUAGUGCUCAGUGGGGGAGUACCUGAAGCAGCAACGACGCGUGGAGGAUGAUACUUUUCGGAGCGUAAGCUCCUUUUGUUAGGGGAGCGGUGCCUAACGAAUAAGCACCGGCUAACUCCGUGCCAGCAGCCGCGGUAAUAC
rnacentral:rRNA from 1 species